AUAAAGCCUUUCACCUCACCCUUAAAGUUGAGCUUAGAUGUACACUGUUCUAGAGAUUCCUCACGAAAUUUUCACUUGAAAGUACGGUUGGAAUCAAGAUUGACAUCUGAGCUGAAAGUUUACCGUGUGUGGAAUCCAGGAUGUCAUCGAAACUGUCAUAGCAAACUGGAAGGUUUGGAUUCCGUUUCAGCUCGUCAACUUUGGAUUUGUUCCUCCACAGCUUCAGGUUGCUGCAGCUGGAGUUCUGGGGAUGGUGUGGAGCGUCUUUAUUUCUUACAAGGGGCACACGUAGAGGUUGUAAAACUGAGGUAGAAUAUGCAAAAUGUUGCAACAUUAGCAUGAAAAGUUCUCCAGACAGUGGUAACCAUCGCACCCCUGCCUGUUGCUUGUCCUUACCCUACCUUGCUGUCGGUGCGAAGCAGCGACAGCUGAGUUCAUCAUAGGGACAACAAAGAGAGGCAAGCAUGUUUGCAUCACGUGAAAAAUUCAUCUUUAGUUUCUGGGUUUCUGCUGUUACUGUCAACGAAUCUGCAACUGGGUGUUUGCAAGUGAUUGCUUGGCCUGAUUAUGAGCUUCAGCCUGAUUGUUGAAUGAUCAACUGA